GGACCACAUCUAGGGCACUGUUGCUGAAGCCUCUGCAUAGAACUUUCUAAAGAAAGCUGGGGAGGAAAUAGUCUGAAGUGCAAAAGAAGAAAAAACACAAAAUGAACCAGCACUUCCAAGGUCAGGGUCUUUUCAAGAUUCUCUUCGUGUAAUCUGCUGGGAAGAGCCGUGUUCAGACUGCAAUACUGCGGGAGUCACUAGAGAUGCUACCACCAACAAUGGUCUUAAUGGUUCUGAGCGGUACGGAAGCGGGGACUCCCUGGAAGAUUUAUGAAAACAUAAGUGACUGUUCUCUCUAAUUAACCCCGUACAGUAUGAUCAUCUGUCUGCAUCAGUGCUCUCCACAGAGCCCGCAGUGGACACUGCCCGGACCAGUAGCUCUGCUCAGCUGUCAGAGGAAAGCCAAGCAUGACAAGCCGCGGCGCAUCGGGAGUAUAGGUAGCAUGGGGAGAAGACCGGUGUGCCUCUGCACCAUUAAUUACGUAGUAUCGUCCCGCACAGAGAAGUAGGAAAGGCAGAGGGCAAAAAAGCCCUUGGAACAUGUGUCUUCUUUUCUCUCUGAUGCAUUUCCAGAGCUGACUGUCUGAGAGGAAAACAGAUUUUCAAAAAAGGACACAUCAUACUUUCCUCCUCCUUCCCUCAGUACCCUGCUUCAUAACUGUCAAAUUAGGAAGUGCUCCUAGUCUUUUAUUCAGACUGCCAUUAAUAGGUGAUAAAUCUUUCAGCAUAGUGGUCAUUAAGAGCACGGGCUCAGGAAUUGAUGUCUGGGAUUGAAGUCUCGCUCUACCACUCACUAGCUGUGUGAUUUUACCUCACUUACUAAACCUCUCUGUGCCUAAGCAUGUUUACCUAUAAAAUGGAAAUAAUAGUAGCUACUCUAUAGCUACUGUGAAUCAUGCUGAUCAGUACAAGUCCCCAGCACACAGUGACUAAAUAAAUGCCCAACUCCAUUAUACUGUGAACUUCACCAAGUGUUGAAAGAGUGACUCCAUCUGAUUUGUGAUGCCUGAUUGAAAGGGACAGAAAGUACAGAGGGAACUAUACUCUUCUUCCCAUGUCCCUGCCUCUCUCCACCCUUACUGGCUCCUCUGACUAGAAAAAUGUUCCCUAUACACGUGCCAUCUGGCCCCUCUCUUGAGCUUCUGGGAGUCUUCUCUGUUUUCAGGCUCUCCCUCUUUUCUCUCCUGUUUCCCAAGGGCUAAUCCAUACAUGGGCUAUCCAGAUGCUCUGUUUGAGUCUAAGGAGGUACUUUAAAAUCUGUUCCUCCCUGGAAGCUACCUGGAAUGAAAACCAGAGCAGCCCAAAGAUAGGUGCCAUCAGGCUCUCGAAUGAGUCCCAACAGAUUCCAGGACACCACCUAGGACCACUUAGUAGUUGGCCAUUGGGUAUGAUCUUAAGGGGACUCCAUGCUUGUCAUUUUUCUGUACUGUCUGCUGCUAUGUGCACACGCAUAAAGAGCAAUUCUUGAUGGAGCACCUAAAGAACAGAAAUGUUUUCCUUGCUUCACAAGCUGGGAACACAUUCUGUAAAGAACUCCUGGUAAGUCCAGCAGGAAAGGAUUAUGGCUAAGAGCGAACAAUUCAGUGCUUAUUGCUGGCACAUGUCAUACAUCAGUAUCACGAUGCAUUACACUUCAAUGUACUAAAUUCUAUAAAGGAUAUUCUACAAAGGAAUUCUAUAAAGAACUAUAAAGUUCAGUGAAAGGAACUGGGCCUGUUCAUUUCAAAUAUUGCUUAUUAACAGCUGUAACAGCUACCGAUUAUUUUCAGACUAACAGAUACUUCAUAUGAGAAGAUCCACAACAAGCGUUUUCAAAUACAACAGUUAUGAGGAAAAGCUUCUGUUCUGGCCCAGUGAAUUUUCUACCCUGAAACCAUGUUGAAUAUAUUAAUUUAGGAUUAGGAAGCAUGGAAACAACUUCUAUAGCACAAUGCUGGAGAUUUCAUUUUUCUGGCUGCAAAUGCCCAUAAAUCUUUCCACGGUUUGCUUUAUGUCCGAUCCCAAAUAACUUUUUCCUAUAGACUUUUAGUUAUUACUCUUGCCUGUCUAGCUCAUGUUUCCCUCUUUCCUACCAAAUUCCUUUCAUGUUUUAUCCUAAUUUUUUUCUAAAACACUUAAAACUCACUAGUCAUUAGUCACCUCUAAAAUGUUUGGACAGCACGAGUAUCAUCAUGUUACCACUGCUCAAGCGACCCCACCCUACAGCUCAUGUGCACACUUUCUCCAUACGUGAUACAUCCUAAAAUGUAGGGAGUGAACCCAGAUGUAGAAGUGGAGAGUAAAUACACACACAGGCACACACUCUCAUGGGGUAAAGACAGGGCCUCUAAAGCCAGACUUGCUGAGCUGAAGCUUAACUUUCUAAUUUACCGGCUAUGUAACCAGGAAUAGGUACUCAGCCUUGCUUUGCUUCAGUUUUCUCAUCUGUGAAAUGGGGACACAAAGAGUAUCCACACCACAGAGCUGUUCUGAGAUUUAGGUUAGUUAACAAAUGCCAAGCACUUAGAAUGGUGUCCUGGCAUAUAACAUUAGUUACUGGCAUAUGCGCCCACACACUGGAUCCUGUCAAAUGUCAAUCCCAGCAACGUUUUAUUAAUAGGCAUCAUUUUUAACCUUUACUUCUGUCCUUUAUCAGUCAAAUGAUCAUGAAACUGCAUAUUGAUGAUCUUCAUUCCCUUGGGAACCAAAAUUUACUCCAUAUAUUUUAUUAUUAAAUUACUGAAUUCUUGUUUCUGAACAUCAGUAAUAAUUUGUUACCUCUCAAUUACUGCCUACAAAAUUGAUUAUUCACAAUACUUCAUUCCUGGAUAAGCAUGAACCCCAGAGCGAUGUAUUACCGUAACUGCCUCAAUGGCCAAUAUGAGACAGCUGCUGGUUUGAACAAUUCUCCCCUCCUUUCUUUCCUAGGGUAAAGGCAUCUUAUUUCUCUGUUGUGAAUAAUAAUAAUUAAAAAAAAAAAAAAAAAAGGUAAAAAUCAGUUAAGCCUCUGACUUAGGCUCAGGUCAUGGUAUCACAGCUUGUGAGUUCAAGCCCUGCAUUGGGCUCUGUGCUGACAGCUCAGAGCCUGGACUGCUUUGGAUUCUGUCUGUCUCUCUCUGUCUCUGUCUCUGUCUCUG